UACGAAGGGGGCUAGCGUUGCUCGGAAUCACUGGGCGUAAAGCGCACGUAGGCGGAUUGUUAAGUCAGGGGUGAAAUCCUGGAGCUCAACUCCAGAACUGCCUUUGAUACUGGCGAUCUUGAGUCCGGGAGAGGUGAGUGGAACUGCGAGUGUAGAGGUGAAAUUCGUAGAUAUUCGCAAGAACACCAGUGGCGAAGGCGGACUCACUGGCCCGGUACUGACG
rnacentral:rRNA from 1 species